UCACCACGCUCUGUAACUUUGUAUCAUUCUCUUUGCCUCCUAACUUUUAUAAUUUUGUAUAAAACACUUCUCUCUGCCUUUCACUGUCAUUUGUUCCCUUCAUCAGUCAUGGGUCAGAGCUAAGUAAUUCCUGUACAAUUCUAUUUAAAAUAUUGUUUUUAAUACAAUUUUGUGUACUAGGAUAUGCAUAAUGCUCCAAAAUGUUUAUUUCUUGUGUGGCCAGGCUACUUUUUGGUCAUCAAGCAAACAUCUGGCAGUUUACAUGAAGCGAACAUCCCUAGGUUAUUUGGUUUUUCUGUAGCAUCUUGAGGAGGGCUAACUGUGCAAAUAAAACUGAAAGUUUUAAUGGAAUUUUUACGUGAGUUUACCUAUUUAAAUGGACCUUUACAAGACCUGUGCUACAAUGAUACAGUGUCUUCCUUCCUUGCAGUUACUUUUGUGGACAUUUUAGAUAAACUCCCAGCAGCUGUGUUUCCAUGGUGAUUGAAUAUUGCUUAUUGCUUCAAAGGCAGUAAUACUUAAAGUUUUCUAAAAUCCAUUGAAUUUUAUUUGAAGUGCUGUAAAACACAGUAAAAAUGUAGAGACUUGAAAGACACAGACCUAAUGCAUGGGCACCUGCUUGAUGUUUGUGUGGCUUAUUCCAGGGAGCAAGAGGCAAUAAAGGAAGGCUGGACACUGAGGAAGUGUUUCAAGCUGUGUUGUUCUCCCUGCUGAUUCAGUGGGUGCACCCCCAGCACUGUUCUCCAUGUCCAAAAAAAGAGAUGGCUGUGAUACUAAGAAGACAACUCUCAGAACAGCAUGUCAAAGUGUCUUCCAAUGCAGCAGUGGCGUUGGACAUUUGCACUCUUGGGAAAAACAAUUGAAUUAUGAUAUCACAGAAUGUUUUGGGUCAAGAUGGGCCUUAGUAAAGACCGUCCAGUUCCAGCCCCCCUACAGCGGACAGAGACAACUUGCAUCAGACCGUGUUGCUCAGAGCCCCACCUGGCCUGGCUUUGAACACUUCCAUGGAUGGGACAUUGAUGGUUUCUCUGGACAACCUGUUUCAGUGCCUCACCACCCCCACAGGGGAGGCUAUUCCCUUGGGUCUUGUUGCUGGUCACCAUGAAGAAAGAUGCCCCUCCCCUCAUGCAGAAGUUGUAGACUGCAGUGAGGUCUCCCCUCAGUCUCCUUGUCACCAUGCUGAAUAAACCAAGUGCCCUUGGCCACUCCUCCUACGGAUUCACCUCAAGGCCCUUCAUCUUUGUGGCUCCACCAAGAAGGAUCUUUCCACAGUGUCAGCUGAGUCAGAUAACAAGCUCCCUAAGGAUUCCAUCCCUGCCAGGUAUUGAAAUGGAAAAAAACCCCUCCGUUUUACUCUGUCCUUCAUCUCUGAAGCACAUCAAAGCCUGACUGAAUUCUCUGUGUGAAGGGAGGAAGAGAAGCACUGGAUGACAGUAUUGGGCUGCUAUUUAGACAAAGUAGAAGAGGAAUAGGUCUGAACCAUCUGCCUGUACUUGGCUUAUGUCUAACUUCACUGUUUAACAGGAAUACAGCUGCAAAAACUUAUAUGGACACAUUUUCUUGAGAAGGUAACCAACCACCAUGGACUCCUUUAUUCUUUGCUGUCAAAAGGAGAGGUAGAAGUUAUCGUAAAGAAGUAAAAAGGAUAGACCUAAAUAUUAAAUUAGGUGCUAAAUGGAGAUCUGACAUGAGUUCAUCCUCCAAAGGGUACCAGAUAGCCCUAAAAGAUAGUUCUCAGCUUCAGUAGAAAUCAUGGAUAUGUCAGAUAAUGGAAAUGGUCUUCUCUGGGAACUACAACUGCCAGUUUUCCAGUUGACAAUAUGAGUGAAUACUUGGGUAAUUUACUUGAUAUUUUAUUGACAAAUUAUUUUUACAUAUCUAGUAAAUAAAAACUUAUCUCUGAAGGUUUGAGCUAUUAUUUCUUGUGAUAUACCCCAAGUAAUAAAAAAUCCUUGUGAUAUACCCCAAGUAAUAAAAAACACUUUUUGAAGCCCUGGCUUUUAGAGAUUUUAAAUGCCCAUGUUUCUACCACAUCCUUUGUAAUUGUUAAGCAAAGACACACAUGCUUAGGUUAACCCACAAGUUCUUAAAUAUCCAAAGUAAAUCUUCCAGACCAUUAAUGGUUUCCUUUAAUUCUUUUCCUGAACUACCCAUGUAAUCUAGAGUUAGUGCCUCCUUUUUCCCAUAGAUACAUGAUUGAUAUAAGUUAUGGAAAAUGUCAGUGUUCAAAUAUGGACUGUUUCUUCACAUCUGAAAGAACUAAGCUAUUAUGUAUUUUUGAAGAUGUUCUGAUUCUAAUUUUUUCUAUUAUAAACUAAAAGUGGCAACCUGAACUAAUUGUCCUAUUCAUGUUUGCACUCAGUAAACACCUAUGCAGAAGCAAAUUAAUCCAAAAUCUUUCAUGAAAUUUUUUGUACAAUUUCUACUGCUACUCAUUGAGAAAGAAGGUUAGUGGAUUUAUAUUUGUUUUCCUUUCAUUUAAAACAAAAGAAUUAGUCAGACAGUUCUAUUCACAAAGUUAGAACACAAUAAUUUAAAAAUCAUUUGGAAAUUUUAAUACAACAGUAUGCUACAGGACAGUAUCCAAUUAUCUCUUCCUUGCCUGUCUAUUGUUGUAAAUGGGUAACUGGGUAUAAAGUGUAUAUUGCUCUGAAUUACAACCAAAGAUCUGGACACUUUCAUCCUGGGAAAAGUUGACAUGCAGGCCUGAAUUUUAAUCAGUAGGUCCUGUAUUUCUCCAGUAAACUUAAUCAAAGCUAAGAUACAACAGCAUUUUUGCAAAUCUUUAUAAGCUAAGACAUUUUGGGAUAAUUUCCUCACUGUUUGGUAACAAUGCCUUGUGGCUUCAUAGCUCUAGGAUGACAGGCAUUUGGUCCAAGAAUCACACUCCAACUAUUCCAAAAUAACUUUGUGAAAUAUGUAACAUGUAUGGAAUAAGUUCCUCAUAUAAGUGAGGAAUUUCAACACACACUGGUUUAAUACGCCAAUUUCCUGGUUUUGGAUUUAUUGGUAAUGUAUAAUAUGCUAACACUGUGCAUUGAAUUGCAUUGAAUCCUACAGGAACAGAAUGUUUGUAUUGCAGAAAUAUUAAAAGGUUGUGACCUUUCAAAGACAGUAUCACAUGGUGUAGUCUGAGACUUAAUAUCAGUUUCUCACCAGCAACACCUCACAAAACCACCAUGAUUUAAAGAAAAAAACUUCUCUUUUUGUUAAAAAGAAGAGAAAUAACAGCAGAAUAAGAGCAAUUAUUUUUCUUUCUAGAACUCAUAGCCUAAUCUGUUAGAAGUAGUUACUUUGUCAGCCAGAUUUUGAAACCAGCUACUCAUCUAUGAAUUAUUUGCGUGUUGUCUGAGGCUAUGUAUCAUUAUGCAAAUGUGCAUAUUGCUAAAUGACCUUUGUGGUAAAUUUAGAUGAUCACUUAAGGAAAAACUGUCAGUUUCAUUUCAUUUCCCCAAAGUCUUUGUCAGUGCAUUUAUGGAUCUCAGUCACCCUGGAGUAGUGGCUUAAAAUAUGCCAAAAUGCAUUCAAGAUAUCUGAUUAGCAAAACUAACUUAACCAGUUUCCUCUUGGUUCUUGUGACCUCCUUUUGUUUGAGAGAUACUCCUUGAUUUAGUUUUUGGUUUUUUUUAAACAUGCACUAAAAAUGCAUAAAUGUUUUAUGAUAGGUAUCAUUUAAUUUGCAUUUUCCCUCAGAGGCUUCUGUCAAAUUUGAAAACAAAUUUUUCUGAAAUGGCACAUCUCAAGACAAAUGAUAGUGUUUUUUUUUAAAGUUAAAUGUUUUAUUAUAAUGAAAAGGUUUUACUUCUAUUAAAGUAAAAGAACAGGCCUUCCAGAUUUAUAAAAGAGAAUGUCACAGUAAAUGUUCUCUUCAGCAAUUGAAGUGCAUUUACCAAGUAGAAAUGCACUGGUAUUUACCACAUUAGUGAUUACAAGGCAAUUAUAAAAUCGCACCAGCUUAUUAAAAUUGAUGAGAAAUGUUAUAGAUAUGCGUGAUUUGUUAAAAGUAUCACUGUAGCUGAUAAUUUUACAAAGUAUGCUGUGAGAAGAUUAGUAAGUUAUGUUGAUAAUAAAAAAAGAAACGUUUAAAUUCUUAAAAUAAUGUAUUGGGGUUCUUUAAGUUUUUUUUUUUCUUUGAGUG